UACGUAGGGGGCAAGCGUUAUCCGGAUUCACUGGGUUUAAAGGGAGCGCAGGCGGAUUGGUAAGUCAGUGGUGAAAGGCUUAAGCUUAACUUGGGAACUGCCAUUGAUACUAUCAGUCUUGAAUGUUGUUGAGGUUUGCGGAAUGGGUCAUGUAGCGGUGAAAUGCAUAGAUAUGACCCGGAACACCUAUUGCGAAGGCAGCAGGCUAAACAAAUAUUGACGCUGAGGCUCGAAAGCGUGGGGAUCAAACAGG
rnacentral:rRNA from 1 species